GAGAUGGUUACAGAGAGACACAGAGAGAGACAGGGGAGAUGGUUACACACAGAGAGAGACAGAGGAGAUGGUUACACACAGAGACAGGGGAGAUGGUUACACACAGAGACAGGGGAGAUGGUUACACACAGAGACAGGUGAGAUGGUUACACACAGAGAGAGACAGGGGAGAUGGUUACACAGAAAGAGAGACAGGGGAGAUGGUUACACAGAGAGACAGGGAGAUGAUGGUUAUACUUGAGAGAGACCGGGGAGAUGGUUACACAGAGAGAGACGUGGAGAUGGUUACACACACACACAGACAUGUGAGAUGGUUACACAGAGAGAGAGACAGGGAAGAUGGUUACACAGAGAGAGACAGGGGAGAUGGUUACACAGAGAGAGACAGGGGAGAUGGUUACACACAGAGAGAGACAGGGGAGAUGGUUACACAAAGAGAGAGACAGGGGAGAUGGUUACACAGAGAGAGA
ensembl:lncRNA